GAUGAACGCUGGCGGCGUGCCUAAUACAUGCAAGUCGAGCGAACAGAUGAGGAGCUUGCUCCUCUGACGUUAGCGGCGGACGGGUGAGUAACACGUGGAUAACCUACCUAUAAGACUGGGAUAACUUCGGGAAACCGGAGCUAAUACCGGAUAAUAUAUUGAACCGCAUGGUUCAAUAGUGAAAGACGGUUUUGCUGUCACUUAUAGAUGGAUCCGCGCCGCAUUAGCUAGUUGGUAAGGUAACGGCUUACCAAGGCGACGAUGCGUAGCCGACCUGAGAGGGUGAUCGGCCACACUGGAACUGAGACACGGUCCAGACUCCUACGGGAGGCAGCAGUAGGGAAUCUUCCGCAAUGGGCGAAAGCUUGACGGAGCAACGCCGCGUGAGUGAUGAAGGUCUUCGGAUCGUAAAGCUCUGUUAUUAGGGAAGAACAAAUGUGUAAGUAACUAUGCACGUCUUGACGGUACCUAAUCAGAAAGCCACGGCUAACUACGUG
rnacentral:rRNA from 1 species